GAUAGUAUACUUUGGUACAAGUCUAGAAUCCCUGCUACUUUGGAGUCUGAGGUCAGUGGAUCUCUGGAACUCAGGAGUUCUGAGCUGCAGUUGGCUAAGCUAAUCAGGUAUCUCCACUAAGUUCAGCCUCAAAAUGAGGAGUCUCCAGGAGCCAGGGAACCACCAGGUUGCCUAAGGAGGGGAAAACCAGUCUAGAUAGGAAAUGGAACAGGUCAGAGCUCUUGCUUGUACCAAUUGUAGUGAGUUUGGGCUUGUGAGCAUUCCCUGUACUCCAGCCUGGGAGAGGUAGGGAGACCCAGGAUUU
rnacentral:SRP_RNA from 1 species